AUGAUUAGAGGCCCAGUGACCUGCAAGAAAUGUGGUGAAAAAGGCCAUAGGCAAGCUAGUUACAAGUGUCCACUAAAUGGAACAAAAAAAAGGAAGAGGAAGCCUAGAAAGAAUGUUACGAAAGCUAGGCCAGCUGAACCUAGCACCCCACAAAGGCCAACUAGAGAACAAAUACUACAAGACAACCCAGGCAUGGUCACUAGAAACCGCCUUGCUUUCUUGCUGGGAGAGGGUACUUCACAAACCACAACUACUCCAGAGAACAUGCCCACUGGAGCUCCAGCAAAGAAGCUAACUCCAGAGAGGAUGCCCACUGCA
rnacentral:rRNA from 1 species